UGGGGAAUAUUGCACAAUGGGCGAAAGCCUGAUGCAGCAACGCCGCGUGAGUGAUGACGGUCUUCGGAUUGUAAAGCUCUGUCUUUGGGGACGAUAAUGACGGUACCCAAGGAGGAAGCCACGGCUAACUACGUGCCAGCAGCCGCGGUAAUACGUAGGUGGCAAGCGUUGUCCGGAUUUACUGGGCGUAAAGGGUGCGUAGGCGGACCUUUAAGUGAGAUGUGAAAUCCCCGAGCUUAACUUGGGGGCUGCAUUUCAAACUGGAGGUCUAGAGUGCAGGAGAGGAGAGUGGAAUUCCUAGUGUAGCGGUGAAAUGCGUAGAGAUUAGGAAGAACACCAGUGGCGAAGGCGACUCUCUGGACUGUAACUGACGCUGAGGCACGAAAGCGUGGGG
rnacentral:rRNA from 1 species